GUGAGGAAUAUUGGGCAAUGGGCGAAAGCCUGACCCAGCCACGCCGCGUGAGUGAUGAAGGCCUUCGGGUUGUAAAGCUCUGUGGGGAGGGAAGAAAAAGCGGGAGAGUAACUGCUCUCGUGUUGACGGUACCUCCUUAGCAAGCACCGGCUAACUCUGUGCCAGCAGCCGCGGUAAUACAGAGGGUGCAAACGUUGCUCGGAAUUACUGGGCGUAAAGCGCGUGUAGACUGACAUGCAAGUCGGGUGUGAAAUCCCAGGGCUCAACCUUGGAACUGCACUCGAAACUGCACGUCUUGAGUACUGGAGAUGGAAGCGGAAUUCCGGGUGUAGAGGUGAAAUUCGUAGAUAUCCGGAGGAACACCAGUGGCGAAGGCGGCUUCCUGGACAGUAACUGACGCUGAGACGCGAAAGCGUGGGGUGCAAACAGGAUUAGAUACCCGAGUAGUCC
rnacentral:rRNA from 1 species